UACCCCGAGGAAAAGAAAUCAACCGAGAUUCCCCCAGUAGCGGCGAGCGAACGGGGAGCAGCCCAGAGCCUGAAUCAGUGUGUGUGUUAGUGGAAGCGUCUGGAAAGGCGUGCGAUACAGGGUGACAGCCCCGUACACAAAAAUGCACAUACUGUGAGCUCGAUGAGUAGGGCGGGACACGUGGUAUCCUGUCUGAAUAUGGGGGGACCAUCCUCCAAGGCUAAAUACUCCUGACUGACCGAUAGUGAACCAGUACCGUGAGGGAAAGGCGAAAAGAACCCCGGCGAGGGGAGUGAAAAAGAACCUGAAACCGUGUACGUACAAGCAGUGGGAGCACGCUUAGGCGUGUGACUGCGUACCUUUUGUAUAAUGGGUCAGCGACUUAUAUUCUGUAGCAAGGUUAACCGAAUAGGGGAGCCGAAGGGAAACCGAGUCUUAACUGGGCGUUAAGUUGCAGGGUAUAGACCCGAAACCCGGUGAUCUAGCCAUGGGCAGGUUGAAGGUUGGGUAACACUAACUGGAGGACCGAACCGACUAAUGUUGAAAAAUUAGCGGAUGACUUGUGGCUGGGGGUGAAAGGCCAAUCAAACCGGGAGAUAGCUGGUUCUCCCCGAAAGCUAUUUAGGUAGCGCCUCGUGAAUUCAUCUCCGGGGGUAGAGCACUGUUUCGGCAAGGGGGUCAUCCCGACUUACCAACCCGAUGCAAACUGCGAAUACCGGAGAAUGUUAUCACGGGAGACACACGGCGGGUGCUAACGUCCGUCGUGAAGAGGGAAACAACCCAGACCGCCAGCUAAGGUCCCAAAGUCAUGGUUAAGUGGGAAACGAUGUGGGAAGGCCCAGACAGCCAGGAUGUUGGCUUAGAAGCAGCCAUCAUUUAAAGAAAGCGUAAUAGCUCACUGGUCGAGUCGGCCUGCGCGGAAGAUGUAACGGGGCUAAACCAUGCACCGAAGCUGCGGCAGCGACGCUGAUGCGUUGUUGGGUAGGGGAGCGUUCUGUAAGCCUGUGAAGGUGUGCUGUGAGGCAUGCUGGAGGUAUCAGAAGUGCGAAUGCUGACAUAAGUAACGAUAAAGCGGGUGAAAAGCCCGCUCGCCGGAAGACCAAGGGUUCCUGUCCAACGUUAAUCGGGGCAGGGUGAGUCGACCCCUAAGGCGAGGCCGAAAGGCGUAGUCGAUGGGAAACAGGUUAAUAUUCCUGUACUUGGUGUUACUGCGAAGGGGGGACGGAGAAGGCUAUGUUGGCCGGGCGACGGUUGUCCCGGUUUAAGCGUGUAGGCUGGUUUUCCAGGCAAAUCCGGAAAAUCAAGGCUGAGGCGUGAUGACGAGGCACUACGGUGCUGAAGCAACAAAUGCCCUGCUUCCAGGAAAAGCCUCUAAGCAUCAGGUAACAUCAAAUCGUACCCCAAACCGACACAGGUGGUCAGGUAGAGAAUACCAAGGCGCUUGAGAGAACUCGGGUGAAGGAACUAGGCAAAAUGGUGCCGUAACUUCGGGAGAAGGCACGCUGAUAUGUAGGUGAAGCGACUUGCUCGUGGAGCUGAAAUCAGUCGAAGAUACCAGCUGGCUGCAACUGUUUAUUAAAAACACAGCACUGUGCAAACACGAAAGUGGACGUAUACGGUGUGACGCCUGCCCGGUGC
rnacentral:rRNA from 1 species